UGAGACACUGUUGAAAAUUACCCAACAUUACUUUGACUUUUCUAUUCUUUUUCUCUUUUUAGCAAUUGUGCCCUGAGUUUGUAGAGCAUGCUGUUAUCCAAAAAGUAUGAAGAAGAUUGAAUGUCUCAUUAUAACUCUUGUCCAAAGUGUCCAAGAAAACAUAUCGAGUAACAACCAAAAUGUCACCAGCUGAGUGAAACACUUAUAAGCUUACCUGCUUCCACCACUUGCAUGAGCAAGGAUGUUUCUAUAAGGAUAAGUUCCAGCAGAAGAGAAGAGGAAAUGCAUUUCCAUCUCCAAUCUUGACUCCUCAUUUCAAGUUAUAUUAUGAGCCAAGUGAAAAAUGGACAAGAGGAAGGAAGAGUCAGAAUACAUCAGUUGCCGGCUUCCAGCCAGCUAACUACAAUGGCAGACCACAGAAUAUGCAUGACCCCGGAGGAAGGACCCAUAUCCCUGAGGUACAACUCUGUUCUUGUUUAAAAACAAAACACAUCUUAGCGUAAUAAAAUGUCCAAUGGAAUGAAUGGAGGUGGUUGGAUUUUUUCAGGUAAGAAGCUCUCUUGCCCACAAUUUAGUGCAGAGUUGUGCUGUUAAACUGCUGUUACAUACCACUGCAUGAAAAUCUGCAUUUCAGCUAUGAGUGAAGGAUUCUAAUGUAUAUAGUCUGUAAAGCACUUUGGGAAAGAAGGAAAGAAAAUAUUUAGAGCAGCACAAAUCUGAAAAUUAAACUGGGAGAGUUGGGAAAUAUUUUGCCCUUCUAUAGUACAUUCUACCUGAGAAUCUAUAAGAUUACAUUAACAAAUGAAUCCUUACAAUAUCCUUGUAAGGUAGGUAUUUUUACUUGCAUUUUAUCAAUGGGGAAAUGAAACAGAAAUAUUUGUGGGCUCGCUAUGGUCACGUAGCAAGUCAGUCAGUAGCAGACCCAGGAAUAGUAUCCAGCUCUCCUGACUCCUAAUUGUGCGCUUUAACCAUUAUAUUAUGCUCCUUCUGAUGUACAGAUAUAGACUGUACACCUCUGCAUCUUCAGUCUCUUAUUACAAGGUGCCUGCUCUUCCAACAGUUAAAUGUUAGUCAUUAAUGGACAUUGAAAAUAUUUCUUUGGUAGUCUCAGAAUCUGAUUAUCUUGUUCUUUAUAUAAUGAAUAUGCAAAGAUGUUAAAAUAGAUUUCACACUGAUGACACACAUGCUGCCACCCCCUAAGAAUCACUUAGGAAAACUCUAUUGUCCACUGGAGAUCAUGAUCCACUUAAAAUUGACAUUUACACCUGGCUGAGUAGUUAUUGUAUCCAUGCAGUAAUAAUGACUGGCAAGUAGAUGGCGUACCUGCAGCAGGCAGAGUAAGUCUAUGAAGGCCAGGCAAAGGGAUGAAAACAGCAGAGACACCUUGUUGCCUUGACUCCCCCUCUUGCUUGUCAGCAGCUGGACGCCUGACAGAGACCGGGGGAAAAGAGCAACAUGGGAAAGAGGAGGAGGAAUGGCACUGAGCCAGCCUUCAACACAAAG
rnacentral:lncRNA from 1 species